rnacentral:rRNA from 1 species
GACGAACGCUGGCGGCGUGCUUAACACAUGCAAGUCGAACGGAAAGGCCCUGCUUUUGUGGGGUGCUCGUUUGGCGAACGGGUGAGUAACACGUGAGUAACCUGCCCUUGACUUUGGUAUAACUUCAGGAAACUGGGGCUAAUACCUGAUAGGAGCUCCUGCUGCAUGGUGGGGGUUGGAAAGUUUCGGCGGUUGGGGAUGUACUCGCGGCUUAUCAGCUUGUUGGUGUGGUAGUGGCUUACCAAGGCUUUGACGGGUAGCCGGCCUGGGAGGGUGACCGGCCACAUUGGGACUGAGAUACGGACCAGACUCGUACGGGAGGCAGCAGUGGGGAAUAUUACACAAUGGGCGGAAGACUGAUGCAGAAACGCCGCGUGCGGGAUAACGGCCUUUGGGUUGUAAACAGCUUUCGACUGUGACGAAGAGUGAGUGACGGUAAUGGGUAAAGAAGCACCGGCUAACUACGUG